AGUGAACGCUGGCGGUAGGCCUAACACAUGCAAGUCGAACGGCAGCACAGGAGAGCUUGCUCUCUGGGUGGCGAGUGGCGGACGGGUGAGGAAUACAUCGGAAUCUACUCUGUCGUGGGGGAUAACGUAGGGAAACUUACGCUAAUACCGCAUACGACCUACGGGUGAAAGCAGGGGACCUUCGGGCCUUGCGCGAUUGAAUGAGCCGAUGUCGGAUUAGCUAGUUGGCGGGGUAAAGGCCCACCAAGGCGACGAUCCGUAGCUGGUCUGAGAGGAUGAGCAGCGACCAUGGAACUGAGACACGGUCCAGACUCCUACGGGAGGCAGCAGUGGGGAAUAUUGGACAAUGGGCGCAAGCCUGAUCCAGCCAUACCGCGUGGGUGAAGAAGGCCUUCGGGUUGUAAAGCCCUUUUGUUGGGAAAGAAAUCCAGCUGGCUAAUACCCGGUUGGGAUGACGGUACCCAAAGAAUAAGCACCGGCUAACUUCGUGCCAGCCGCCGCUGUAA
rnacentral:rRNA from 1 species